rnacentral:rRNA from 1 species
GAUGAACGCUGGCGGCGUGCCUAAUACAUGCAAGUCGAGCGAACGGACGAGAAGCUUGCUUCUCUGAUGUUAGCGGAGGACGGGUGUGUAACACGUGUAUACCCUACCUAUAAUACUGGUAUAACUUCGGGAAACCGUAGCUAAUACCGUAUAAUAUUUUGAACCGCAUGGUUCAAAAGUGAAAGACGGUCUUGCUGUCACUUAUAGAUGGAUCCGCGCUGCAUUAGCUAGUUGGUAAGGUAACGGCUUACCAAGGCAACUAUGCAUAGCCGACGUGAGAGGGGGAUAGGCCACACGGGAGCGGGAACGGGGACAAGGCUCCUGAGAGAGGGAGCAGAAGGGAAUCGGACGCAAUGGGCGAGAGCAUGACGGAGUGAGCGCGCGUGAGUGGUGAAGGUCUUCGGUUCGGAAAAAUGUGUUAUUAGGGAAGAACAGAUGUGGAAGGAGAUGUAGACUUCUUGACGGUAACGAAUAAGGAAGCAACGGCUAACUACGUG